rnacentral:rRNA from 1 species
GACGAACGCUGGCGGCGUGCCUAAUACAUGCAAGUCGAGCGAGCUUGCCUAGAUGAAUUUGGUGCUUGCACCAAAUGAAACUAGAUACAAGCGAGCGGCGGACGGGUGAGUAACACGUGGGUAACCUGCCCAAGAGACUGGGAUAACACCUGGAAACAGAUGCUAAUACCGGAUAACAACACUAGACGCAUGUCUAGAGUUUAAAAGAUGGUUCUGCUAUCACUCUUGGAUGGACCUGCGGUGCAUUAGCUAGUUGGUAAGGUAACGGCUUACCAAGGCAAUGAUGCAUAGCCGAGUUGAGAGACUGAUCGGCCACAUUGGGACUGAGACACGGCCCAAACUCCUACGGGAGGCAGCAGUAGGGAAUCUUCCACAAUGGACGCAAGUCUGAUGGAGCAACGCCGCGUGAGUGAAGAAGGGUUUCGGCUCGUAAAGCUCUGUUGGUAGUGAAGAAAGAUAGAGGUAGUAACUGGCCUUUAUUUGACGGUAAUUACUUAGAAAGUCACGGCUAACUACGUGCCAGCAGCCGCGGUAAUACGUAGGUGGCAAGCGUUGUCCGGAUUUAUUGGGCGUAAAGCGAGUGCAGGCGGUUCAAUAAGUCUGAUGUGAAAGCCUUCGGCUCAACCGGAGAAUUGCAUCAGAAACUGUUGAACUUGAGUGCAGAAGAGGAGAGUGGAACUCCAUGUGUAGCGGUGGAAUGCGUAGAUAUAUGGAAGAACACCAGUGGGCGAAGGCGGCUCUCUGGUCUGCACUGACGCUGAGGCUCGAAAGCAUGGGUAGCGAACAAG